rnacentral:hammerhead_ribozyme from 1 species
AUCCAGAUGACGAGCCCCAAAUAGGACGAAAUGCGCAUCCUGCAU